GAUGAACGCUAGCUACAGGCUUAACACAUGCAAGUCGAGGGGAAACGGCAUCGAAAGCUUGCUUUUGAUGGGCGUCGACCGGCGCACGGGUGAGUAACGCGUAUCCAACCUGCCCAUCACUUGUGAAUAACCUUGCGAAAGUAAGACUAAUGCCCAAUGACAUCCCACGAAGGCAUCCGAAUGGGAUUAAAGAUUUAUCGGUGAUGGAUGGGGAUGCGUCUGAUUAGCUUGUUGGCGGGGUGACGGCCCACCAAGGCAACGAUCAGUAGGGGUUCUGAGAGGAAGGUCCCCGACAUUGGAACUGAGACACGGUCCAAACUCCUACGGGAGGCAGCAGUGAGGAAUAUUGGUCAAUGGGCGAGAGCCUGAACCAGCCAAGUAGCGUGCAGGAUGACGGCCCUAUGGGUUGUAAACUGCUUUUAUAAGGGAAUAAAGUGGGUCACGUGUGACUUUUUGCAUGUACCUUAUGAAUAAGGACCGGCUAAUUCCGUG
rnacentral:rRNA from 1 species